UACGAAGGGGGCUAGCGUUGCUCGGAAUCACUGGGCGUAAAGAGCGUGUAGGCGGCCAGGUAGGUCUGCUGUGAAAACUCGAGGCUCAACCUCGAGAUGUCGGCGGAAACCAUCUGGCUAGAGUCCGGAAGAGGAGAGUGGAAUUCCUGGUGUAGCGGUGAAAUGCGCAGAUAUCAGGAAGAACACCCGUAGCGAAGGCGGCUCUCUGGGACGGUACUGACGCUGAGACGCGAAAGCGUGGGGAGCGAACAGG
rnacentral:rRNA from 1 species